rnacentral:sRNA from 1 species
CGUGAGGUCGAUGGUUCAAGUCCAUUUAGGCCCAUUGACAUAACGAAUAAAAAGAGUUAAAGUUAUGUCUGGCUUAAAAAAGAAUAACUUGGGGGCUUAGCUCAGUUGGGAGAGCACCUGCUUUGCACGCAGGAGGUCAUCGGUUCGAACCCGUUAGCCUCCAUUGAUUCCGAAAGGAAUCAGGAGUUAGUACAUUGAAAACUGAAUAUAAUCCAAGCAAAAAACCGAGACAAUCAAAGAGAACAGAUUGUAGAGCGACCGAGAAGAGAAUUCUUGGGUAAGGUCAAGUAGAAAAGGGCGCACGGUGAAUGCCUAGGCACUAACAGCCGAUGAAGGACGUGACGAACUACGAAAAGCUUCGGGGAGCGGUAAGUACGCAGUGAUCCGGAGAUGUCCGAAUGGGGGAACCCAAUGCAGCGAUGCAUUAUUGGUUGAUGAAUAGAUAGUCAAUCAAAGGAAGACGCAGUGAACUGAAACAUCUAAGUAGCUGCAGGAAGAGAAAGAAAAAUCGAUUUCCUUAGUAGCGGCGAGCGAAGAGGAAAGAGCCCAAACCAAGUGAUUUAUCAUUUGGGGUUGUAGGACUGCAAAGUGGUAGCGUAAGCGAUAGUUGAAUUAUCUGGGAAGGUAAGCCAGAGAGGGUGAGAGCCCCGUAAGCGAAAUUGCGAGCGCGCCUAGCAGAAUCCUGAGUAGGCCGGGACACGAGGAAUCCCGGUUGAAGCCGCGAGGACCAUCUCGCAAGGCUAAA